UACGUAGGGGGCGAGCGUUGUCCGGAGUUACUGGGCGUAAAGGGCACGCAGGCGGUGCGGCAAGUUUGAGGUAACAGCUCCCGGCUUCACUGGGAGAGCGCCCCAAAGACUGUCGGACUGGAGGGCCAGAGAGGGACACAGAAUUCCGGGUGGAGUGGUGAAAUGCGUAGAUAUCCGGAGGAAUACCAAAGGCGAAGGCAGUGUCCUGGCUGGCACCUGACGCUGAGGUGCGAAAGCUAGGGGAGCGAACGG
rnacentral:rRNA from 1 species